UUUCAAUGGAAAAUGCCUUAAAAACUAGAAUUUUUACCACUUCACAUAAUGUGUCUUGAAAAUUGUUGUGGUUAUUUGGAGCACACUGACAUUGGUCAGUGUGUCACACUUUUGGAGCUCAGCCUAAGCUUCUGCUGAAAUUUAUCUACAUUAAGGAACCCUCCAAAAUCAGUGCACUUAGUUUUCUAACAUCAACCUAUCAUGACACUAUCUAAAAUCGAAUUCACUGACUUAUAUCCUCAGCAUGGCAAUCAAGAAUUCUUCAAAAUAGUAAGUCAGUUUCAUAACUGCACUGGGGAUAGACCUUUUUCAGGUAAACUAUUUUCAGAAUAUAGUGACAGUGUGUGCACCCUAUCAGGUAUCUUUUUUUCCACUUUCUAGUGUAAUAGGAUAACAAUUCAUUUAAGUAUGGCCAUAGUUGCAAAACUACAUUCAAUUUGCUAAGAAAGAACUACAGGGAAAGUUUGUAACUGUCAUAUGUAUUAUGCUAUUAUGACCUAAAGGUAAAAAUGAUGUCAGCCAAAGGGACAGUUGGGACCAAGAACCAUUAGCUACACAUAGACAAUUCAAAUGCAUUUGUAUGGUAGCCAGUUUAUUUCAGUCUCUAGUCCUUCUACUAUUUUUUCCCAUUUCAUUCUUCCCAUCUUUCCCCACCUACUGCUAUAACUUUUCUUCCAGCAAGUUUUAGGGUUGAAGUUUAAAUGAGCAUCUGCCACAGCACCAAUGCCAACACUAACUGGCCAUCAACCAGCGGGGUACUCUUGCAUGGGAUGCCUGGCUCCACUUCGGAGACUGCGUUUAACCUUUAUGACAUACUCAGAUUCCACCAGCUUGGUGCCUCAAAUCCCAUGUUCCUGUUUCUCUCCAAAUUUUCUGAUGAAUUCUCUGUAUGAUGAACUGUGAACUACUGGUUUCAGUUUACAUUUAAGCUGUGAUUCUGAACACAUGCCUUUACAUCUGAUGGGGGUGACAACAAUGAUUCUGCCUCUAGAUCAGAAGCACAUUUUUAGGUACAAUGGGCCAACUGGUGCGCUGCCUCCUCAAGUUUAUCUAGAGCUUCCAUCUGGUCAAGGUGCAGUCAUUAAGGGCAACAGUUUCCCAGCAAUGCAGUUAACUCUAUAUUGCUGCUUGAAGAGCACUUCUGUAUAG
rnacentral:lncRNA from 1 species